rnacentral:rRNA from 1 species
GCCCUACGGGGCGCAGCAGCCGCGGUAAUACGGAGGGUGCAAGCGUUACUCGGAAUCACUGGGCGUAAAGAGCGCGUAGGCGGGAUAGCAAGUCAGAUGUGAAAUCCUAUGGCUUAACCAUAGAACUGCAUUUGAAACUGUUAUUCUAGAGUAUGGGAGAGGUAGGUGGAAUUCUUGGUGUAGGGGUAAAAUCCGUAGAGAUCAAGAGGAAUACUCAUUGCGAAGGCGACCUGCUAGAACAUAACUGACGCUGAUGCGCGAAAGCGUGGGGAGCAAACGGGAUUAGAUACCCUUGUAGUCCACAG